rnacentral:rRNA from 1 species
UGGGGAAUAUUGCACAAUGGGGAAACCCUGAUGCAGCGACGCCGCGUGAGCGAAGAAGGCUUUCGAGUCGUAAAGCUCUGUCCUAUGAGAAGAUAAUGACGGUAUCAUAGGAGGAAGCCCUGGCUAAAUACGUGCCAGCAGCCGCGGUAAUACGUAUGGGGCGAGCGUUGUCCGGAAUUAUUGGGCGUAAAGGGUACGUAGGCGGUUUUUUAAGUCAGGUGUCAAAGCGUGGAGCUUAACUCCAUUAAGCACUUGAAACUGAAAGACUUGAGUGAAGGAGAGGAAAGUGGAAUUCAUAGUGUAGCGGUGAAAUGCGUAGAUAUUAGGAGGAAUACCGGUGGCGAAGGCGACUUUCUGGACUUUUACUGACGCUCAGGUACGAAAGCGUGGGGAGUAAACAGG